CUGGAGAGCCGCAGGAUUCAGGACCUCCUGCCUUUUGUUGUCACUCAGCAUUUGAGCAGAGCAGCGAUUGGCCAGUUAAAGCAUUUAAUUACGCAGCUAACGCAGAUCACCUGAUUUCUCGGAUCUGAAUCGGUUGUUGAUUUUAUGGCGAGAAACAACAAAGACCAGUAGACCAUGGUUCUCUGUGACCAGGACUGAAGAUCACUCAGCGAAGAUUUAACAUAAGGUGGCUGCUGUGCUUCAGGAGGCAAAGACUCAGCUGCAGUUUAGACUACAGACCUAUUCAAAGCACUGCUGUAUAGAUGCAGGGGGCGGCCCAGCAUGUGCGCAGUGUCUGGAGCUGUUUCGGUGCCAGUGGGACGCGGGCCGGGUCUGCGAGAGCCACGUUUUUCCCAGGGCCACAUAGUCUUGAGUUGCUAACUUCUCCUUUCCCAAGACCGCUGUGGGAGUUUCCUGGAUUUUGUUUUUAAACUGUCGUCGUUGUCAUUCUCCAAGAAAGCCGCUGAUAUAAAUUAUGAACAUAACAAGAGCCGAGAACUGUGCUAUUGCCCAACCAUUUCCAAGUAAUAAAAGCACGGUUUGCAUUUUAUUUUUUAUUUUUUUGUUCUUGAACAUCCAUGUAGCUGAUAACAUUUCC